CUCUGGUUGAGGAAACACUGCAUCACUAGUGUGAUUAUUUAUCCCUGAUUUCCAGAGUGCAACAUCAGGACCUUAAGACACAAAGUUUGUGACAGUCAAACGUGGCGUGCCGAUUCUUGGAGCAGACACCAACUGACCACUGUAGCAGGGCCCAUGCUCACAGGUGCCUGGGGGUACCAGAAGCUCAAAACAAGAGUCAAUAGCAACAGCUGGAGUCAUGUUUUUAAUGAACACCCAGUAGCGUCAGCUUGAAAUGAUCCCAGACUUUGGACACUUCUUGCCGUUUGCUCUGGCCCGUCUCUUCUCUUCAUCCCUCACCAUGUUCCCUCUCUUCUGCCAUUCUGCAGUCAGCGUAAUCAGAUCAUGUCUUGUAUGAUCGUAUGUAUGAUUUUCAGGUUUCUCUUGAGUCACAUGUCCAUGGUGUAAGCGUGUUGUGCCACAGUAAGAGUCAUCACAAUGCACUGUAUAUAGUUAUAUGGAUGAGAUGAAACUUCAGUACAUAUCUGAAUCUGAAUAAUUUGUAUCAGUGAUUUUCAGUUUCAGCCCUAAAUGCAACACAAAAAGAUUCAUAAAAUCCUUCUUCCUAUGUCGUAGCAUUUGAGAGACUUUUGAGAGAUUGAUUUAUUCUUAGAUUAAUGACAGUAAUGCCUCUAAGACUUUUUAAGGAUCCACAGGAACCCUGAUUAAAGAAAGACUGAAGGAACAAAUGUUGGACAUUGAAAAAGUGUGUGAACGUGACAGAGUUGAUGAUGUUGUGACGUUUUGGUGAAGAAACUCUGUGGUGCCACUGAAAGAGUUGUGUUUACUUCAGCUGGAGUUUAUAGAUGUCUGUUAGGAUCAGGGUUCUGCUGUCAGUCAAGCUGAGAGAGGAACAGUAAUGCUGUCUUAUAUAUAUAAUAUUAUUAAAAGAUUGUUUGUUGAUGCUAUGUGAGAGCAACAUUUAACUUUGUAUUGUUUUAGGUGAUUUA